rnacentral:rRNA from 1 species
UACGGGGGGGGCAAGCGUUGUUCGGAAUUACUGGGCGUAAAGGGCGCGUAGGCGGCCUACUAAGUCGGACGUGAAAUCCCUCGGCUCAACCGGGGAACUGCGUCCGAUACUGGUGGGCUUGAAUCCGGGAGAGGGAUGUGGAAUUCCAGGUGUAGCGGUGAAAUGCGUAGAUAUCUGGAGGAACACCGGCGGCGAAGGCGGCAUCCUGGACCGGUAUUGACGCUGAUGCGCGAAAGCCAGGGGAGCAAACGGG